rnacentral:rRNA from 1 species
GACCGGCUAAAAAGUCGGAGGAAGGUGGGGAUAGACGUCAAAUCAUCAUGCCCCUUAUGACCUGGGCUACACACGUGCUACAAUGGGCGGUACAAAGGGUCGCGAACCCGCGAGGGGGAGCCAAUCCCAAAAAGCCGCUCUCAGUUCGGAUUGCAGGCUGCAACUCGCCUGCAUGAAGCCGGAAUCGCUAGUAAUCGCGGAUCAGCAUGCCGCGGUAAAUACGUUCCCGGGCCUU